rnacentral:rRNA from 1 species
UACGUAGGGUGCAAGCGUUGUCCGGAAUUAUUGGGCGUAAAGAGCUCGUAGGCGGCUUGUUGCGUCGACCGUGAAAACCCGGGGCUCAACUUCGGGCUUGCGGUCGAUACGGGCGGGCUAGAGUUCGGUAGGGGAGACUGGAAUUCCUGGUGUAGCGGUGAAAUGCGCAGAUAUCAGGAGGAACACCGGUGGCGAAGGCGGGUCUCUGGGCCGAAACUGACGCUGAGGAGCGAAAGCGUGGGGAGCAAACAGG